UAGGGAAUCUUCCACAAUGGGCGCAAGCCUGAUGGAGCAACACCGCGUGAGUGAAGAAGGGUUUCGGCUCGUAAAGCUCUGUUGUUAAAGAAGAACACGUAUGAGAGUAACUGUUCAAUGUGUGACGGUAUCUUACCAGAAAGGAACGGCUAAAUACGUGCCAG
rnacentral:rRNA from 1 species